UUUUUGUAAUGUAUAACAGAUUUGGUAUAAAAUAUUAAGGAUAUGGCAAUUUAUGAAACAAUUUGCAAAUAUAGCAAAUUGAUGAUUUUUUUAAAAUAUAUUCCAAUAUUACCCUUGUUUUAAAAACAAUCCUGGCGCGAAUUUCUCCUCCUCCAUUCGUCUGCGUGAUUUUCUCCCUCUCCAAUAUAUUCUCCACGAUUUUCUCACUUCUUCCGCCUUACCAUUCUCAAGAACGCCUUCUUCCGCACGACGCCUUCUUCCGCACGACGCCUUGUUCCGCCUUCAACGACGCCUUCGUUCGCCUCCAACGACGCCUUCUUCCGCCUCCAACCAGUCGUCAUCUUCGGUCUCCAACCAGUCGUCAUCUUCAGUCUCCAACCACAACUUCUUCCGCCUCCAACCAUCUGUAAUUUGGAAUUAUGAUUAAACUUCCCAUAGUAGUGUUUCACAGUGGACAGUGGGAUGAUACAAAUAGUUACUUGAAUUACAAGACUACAGGUGUAUUGGUUGAUGAGAUGAUGUCUUUUGAAAAUUUUGUGAGUUUGAUAUUAAGAGAAGUUCUAUUUGAUGCAUCUCCUUCUUCAAUACAACUGUCAAUUUUAUUGGAUUAUGGUAUCACUAAUAUUCAAACUGUGGUUCAAAUUCAA